UAGGUGGUAUCUAAUACUCAAAUAUCAGAGUCUAAACUACUCAAUAAAAAAUAGGUCUGUAUCAUAUACACACCUUUUCAUGCUACACUUGCACCCUGCUUCAAUCUUGCAAGAUAAUUUUUGCAAUUAUACUCCUAAUAUCCAAAUUUAUCACAAAUAAUAUCCAUAUGGACAUCAUUGCCUUCUCAUUAUUACUGACCAUUCCAAGGUCAGAAAUAUCCAAAACAUUAAAGUUUUUCUCCGAU
rnacentral:lncRNA from 1 species